UACGUAGGUGACAAGCGUUAUCCGGAUUUAUUGGGCGUAAAGCGCACGCAGGCGGUCUAUCAAGUCUGACGUGAAAUCUCUCGGCUUAACCGGGAGCGGUCGUUGGAAACUGAUGGACUUGAGGCGAUGAGAGGGGUGUGGAAUUCCCGGUGUAGUGGUGAAAUGCGUAGAGAUCGGGAGGAACACCUGUGGCGAAGGCGGCCGACUGGGCCGACCCUGACGCUGAGGCGCGAAGGCGUGGGGAGCGAACGGG
rnacentral:rRNA from 1 species